rfam:Strongylocentrotus purpuratus Contig27084_fixed, whole genome shotgun sequence.
CCAACAGUCCUUUUCAGGACUACACAUGUGCUCAAGAAAGAAAGAU